UACGUAGGGGGCAAGCGUUGUCCGGAUUUAUUGGGCGUAAAGAGCGUGUAGGCGGCCAUACAGGUCAGCUGUGAAAACUCGAGGCUCAACCUCGAGACGUCGGUUGAAACCGUAUGGCUAGAGUCCGGAAGAGGAGAGUGGAAUUCCCGGUGUAGCGGUGAAAUGCGCAGAUAUCGGGAAGAACACCCGUGGCGAAGGCGGCUCUCUGGGCCGUAACUGACGCUGAGGAGCGAAAGCAUGGGGAGCGAACAGG
rnacentral:rRNA from 1 species